GACGAACGCUGGCGGCGUGCUUAACACAUGCAAGUCGAACGGUGAAGCGCUUUCCUUUUUGGUUGGUGUAGAUGAGUGGCGAACGGGUGAGUAACACGUGAGUAACCUGCCCCCUUCUUCUGGAUAACCGCAUGAAAGUGUGGCUAAUACGGGAUAUUCUGCGCCUGCUGCAUGGUGGGUGUGGGAAAGAUUGUGCCUUUGGGUGUUUUCGGUGGGGGAUGGGCUCGCGGCCUAUCAGCUUGUUGGUGGGGUGAUGGCCUACCAAGGCGGUGACGGGUAGCCGGCCUGAGAGGGUGGACGGUCACACUGGGACUGAGACACGGCCCAGACUCCUACGGGAGGCAGCAGUGGGGAAUAUUGCACAAUGGGCGCAAGCCUGAUGCAGCGACGCCGCGUGAGGGAGGGAGGCCUUCGGGUUGUGAACCUCUUUCGCCAGUGAAGCAGGCCUGCUCCUUGUGGGUGGGUUGACGGUAGCUGGAUAAGAAGCGCCGGCUAACUACGUG
rnacentral:rRNA from 1 species